rnacentral:tRNA from 20 species
CGCGGGGUGGAGCAGCUUGGUAGCUCGUCGGGCUCAUAACCCGAAGGUCGCUGGUUCAAAUCCGGCCCCCGCAACCA